GCCAGUUUUGUGACGUCACGGAGGUCAGACAAUCCCUUCCAUUUGGCGCGGCUAGCCUAUUGGUUCCACGCGUGCGCGCGCCCCGUGACCACGCCCUGUUGCUGGUGAAGAUCAUAUUGAGGCAUUGGAAAAAGGAGCUCCCUCCAGUAUGCAGAUGACUCAAUAUCCUGAGAAGGCACCUUUAUUUAUACUGGAAGAUCCUGCAGAUACCUGCCUAACAAAACUCUGCUAUCCUUAAUGCUGUGGACUAGAAGGACCCACAUGAAGCCCAAGCUGCACUUCUGCUACAGAUGUGUGGAGAGGCCUAAGUCCAGCCCCUGAAUGUACUUUGGUUGGUGCUUCAGUCUCUGAGAGCCCCAAGGGUCCAGGCCUCCAUCCCUCCUCCGGGCUCCGCUCUGGGCAUCCAGAGGAGAAAGACUUUGAAGUCCUCAGGGGACUUGCAAGCAGAAGUGGGGGAAAGGGUACCACAAAUGGAGAUGAAAUCUGUCUUUACUUUCCUGAUGUUCCUGGGCUUCAAAGCCAGAGCCAUGAGCCAUGGAAAGGCGGAGUUGGAAAGGACGCUGUCUCUGAUGUGACAUUCUAUGCUCAAAAAUGCCUUUGCCUGGCCUCUUUGUGUGACUUCAGUUGGAUACCAGUAACAGCUGCUUUCAAGGUCAAGUCUGGAAUGUUCCAAGGCACUGGACAUGAGACAUUCAAGAGCCUGGAGAAGAGACAAACGUUGUCUGUGCAAGGCCAGAGACAAGUAAAGGAGCCAUGGCUACAGUUUGUGG
ensembl:processed_transcript 1700123M08Rik RIKEN cDNA 1700123M08 gene